rnacentral:lncRNA from 1 species
CGUGGGGCUCACGGUCUUCGUCCCCCGUUUGACAGAGGAGGUCGCGGGGGCCCAGAGAAGUGAAGUGACUCGCCCACAGCCACACGGCCGCCAGGCGGCGGAGCGGAAUCGGAACUCUUGACCUCCGACUCCCGACCCCGGCCUCUCUCCCACCGAGCCGCGAUCCGUCGGCAGGUCGGCGAGCUCUGGGCGCCGACCUCCCCUCGACUCCAGUUCCGGUCAGGGUGACCCUCCUUACCGGCGGCGCCGGGUUCCCUCGUCCGGUCGUACCCUGCCCCCCCGCCCCCGGCUGCCCGAGCCAGCCGAACGUGCACCCUCCGCGGCCUGGCCCGUGUCCUCGGCUGGACCCCCGCGGGUCGGCGGGCUCCGGCCCGGGCAGGGCCGAGCAAGGAGGCGGGCACGGCGAGGACCUUGCCGACCCCGCCCAGGUGAGGGGCCGUGGACCGGCGUGGAGCUUCUCGGGCCUCACCCUUCUCCAAGGGAUGGAAGCAUUCUCCGGGCCCUGUCGGGAGCUUCGAUUGAGGUGAAGUCGGUGGCGUGUGCAACACGGCGACGCUUUACGAGGAAGGGCUGAAGUGGAAAUGAAAAAUAUGAUCCUUGAAAGCUCCCUGCAGCCAACUACAGAGAGGAUUUGGAGACUUACAGUGAAAUGACUGACACUAGGUCAACCGCCAAGAGCUGUGAGUGGGCUAGGGCGUGAAGGAGGUGAUGUGGAGACAAUGGAGCUGCUAACCCUGUGGUCAACGGUGGAUCCAACUGAUUCACUCACCUCGGCCCACUUCUGCUUUUGGGAUCAUGGUGUACCAGGAAGCUGAGCCAGGAUAUCUAUAUAUCCUGCAGAGAGAUCAGACUUCCUUGGGACCAGACUGGAUCUGGAGCGUGGACCGGAGUCUUGCAUCCCCCCAACACCUGGAUUUAGAGAGAAAUUCACAAAGUCGUGACCGAGAGGAAAGAGCGCCAUCUACUGCAUCGUCAAAACCUCUCCUUUCCCCUCUGAAAGUCGUUCUUGGAGAUGUCUUCAGUAAUUUACGGUCCUGA